rnacentral:rRNA from 1 species
CAGUUCGGAUUGGAGUCUGCAACCCGACUCCAUGAAGCUGGAUUCGCUAGUAAUCGCGCAUCAGCCACGGCGCGGUGAAUACGUUCCCGGGCCUUGUACACACCGCCCGUCAAGCCAUGGAAGCCGGGAGUGCCUGAAGUACGCGACCGCAAGGAGCGUCCUAAGGUAAAACCGGUGACUGGGGCUAAGUCGUAACAAGGUAUC